UACGUAGGGGGGCAAGCGUUGUCCGGAUUUAUUGGGCGUAAAGAGCGUGUAGGCGGCCGUACAGGUCAGCUGUGAAAAACUCGAGGCUCAACCUCGAGACGUCGGUUGAAACCGUACGGCUAGAGUCCGGAAGAGGAGAGUGGAAUUCCCGGUGUAGCGGUGAAAUGCGCAGAUAUCGGGAAGAACACCCGUGGCGAAGGCGGCUCUCUGGGACGGUACUGACGCUGAGACGCGAAAGCGUGGGGAGCGAACAGG
rnacentral:rRNA from 1 species